rnacentral:lncRNA from 1 species
UCAAAUCUGUCUAUUUAUUAUAACAUUCCAAAAUUUAGAAUUUUGGGAUGUUACAUUUUUAGCACAAACACACUAAGACAAAAUCCAUUACUAUUGAUGUCUCGAUCAUGUCAUUUUUGCAAGAAUAAAAAACUCACUAACCUAAACACAAGAGGGAAUGAAGUCUGAAGUAGAUAUUUUCUCUACCAUCUGUAACUCCACAAUAUGGAUGGAAGCCCUAUGGGCACAGGUACCGGUGAGUUCCAUGGACAUCCUUCGUUAGCUCGGUAACAAUCCAGGCAGCGGCUCAAUGGAAAUAACAAUCGACCGCUGCAUCCAACACUAAUGGGAAAGAAGACAACCAAUCAUCACAUAUUUGGUGCGUGAGAAAAGAUCAUCAUGAUGUUGCUACAAGUACAACCUUCAGAACACCAGUAUACUUGAAAUGCUCAUAAGCCAUAAUCAUCGUCAUCCAGCGCUCAGUGUUGUAAAAAAUCAUCUGCAAGUAAAACAUGAUAAAAGAAAAGCUACAUACUAAGAGAAGUUGCAUAAGCUUCUAUUCAUCUCUUCACAAGGAAUUUAUGUAUAUACAUUCAAGGACCAUGGACUAUCGGUGAAGAUAGAUAUCUUUUUUUUCUCUCUUGACAGGUGAUGUAAGUACCAAAAACUUGCUGAAAACGGAUUACACGUACAUGUACUAAAUAAACCCGCUCACAUAAAAAUUUCCUACCCUGUAAAUAGUAUCAAAUAUUUGGAUUAAUUAACUAGCGGUUUUGGAUCGCCAAGGCCAUUAAAGUGAUAUCUAACAUAGAUGCCAAUAUAGAGCCAGAUAAACAUAGUGAUGAUUAAGAUGGAUGUAUGGUUCUCAUACAUAUAUGAAGAUGUAUCAGUCCUAAAAAGUAAGUGCACUGGUGCAUCAACAAAGAACUAACCGAUAUCAAAAGUACAAAAAUUGCCAAUAUAUUUUGAGCAAGCCAGCCAGUGCCAUGGUUUUAUCCUAACUAACUACUUUUUUGCGGGGGAUCCUAAUUAACUACUUGACCAUUCACAGUAUAGUAAAGUACCAUAUGCAUCACCAUUUCCUAGCAUAUAAUAGUAUAGUAAGACUAAAAGAUACUCGGUAAUGGGGUUGACCAUUCGAGCAACCAAUUUCAUCACAGGUUUCCAGAUAUCUAGAGACAACACUUGUAUGGAAAUAUAUCACAACUAAGCAACAUAAUCAGGAGAUGAAUAGUUUCAACAAAGAAUGAAUCUAAGAACAGCCGAAGGUACAACACACUGACCUGAUUUGCUUGCAGCACCAUGUCUUGUUGGAUGCUGGCCUCCUCCUCACCAAUCAAUCGAUGCGAUGGUCUUACUAAAACUGUAUGAGAAGGAAAUCAUGGUGGCAAAUGCAAAACCUAGGAAAGGAGAUCAAGGAACCAAAUUAAAUUCUGAAAAAACCAGACCUCUCAAUGAAACCUUGCAAGGGGGCGAGGAGUGCAGUGGCCAGCGGUUGGGUCGCCCCGAGGAUCUACUCCCGAAUCCCAGCCGGCACGCCCUGACUAUCAGCGACACGUCCUCGCCCACGUGGAUCCGUCGCCCGCUCAUCUUUG